AGUGAACGCUGGCGGCGUGCUUAACACAUGCAAGUCGAACGAGAACGGAAUAUAGCUUGCUAUAUUUGUCAGCUAAGUGGCGCACGGGUGAGUAAUGUAUAGAUAACCUGCCCUUAAGAAAGGAAUAACAGUUGGAAACGACUGCUAAUGCCCUAUAUGCCUUUAAUACAUAAGUAUGCAAGGGAAACGCUUUAGUGCUUAAGGAUGGGUCUGUAUGGUAUCAGCUUGUUGGUGAGGUAAUGGCUCACCAAGGCUAUGACGCCUAACUGGUUUGAGAGGAUGAUCAGUCACACUGGAACUGAGACACGGUCCAGACUCCUACGGGAGGCAGCAGUGGGGAAUAUUGCACAAUGGACGAAAGUCUGAUGCAGCAACGCCGCGUGGAGGAUGACACAUUUCGGUGCGUAAACUCCUUUUAUAUAGGAAGAUAAUGACGGUACUAUAUGAAUAAGCACCGGCUAACUACGUGCCAGCAGCCG
rnacentral:rRNA from 1 species